UUUGUGUUCGUGUUUUCUACAUCAUGUUUCAUGUCUCAUUAAUUAAAUUUUCAUGUCAUGUUGGUAUGUUUCCAAUAUUCAUGAUGUGUGGGUUUGUUUGAUUCGAUUUUAUUUGAUUUUUACAUGUUUUUCCAAUUGAUUUGCGAUUUUUCAUGUCUAAAUUGGAUAAUGAAAAUUAAUCGAAAAAUAAUAUUACAUACCCUAAUCCAACCGAAUAUGAAGGAAAAAUCGUUAGAUUUAAUUAAUAUUCCAAUCCAACCUAAAAUGAGAGAAAAUGGUUGGAUUUAAUUAAUAUACUAAAGCCGUU
rnacentral:lncRNA from 1 species